CCUACGGGGGGCUGCAGUGGGGAAUACUGCACAAUGGGCGCAAGCCUGAUGCAGCCAUGCCGCGUGUGUGAAGAAGGCCUUCGGGUUGUAAAGCACUUUCAGCGGGGAGGAAGGCGUUAAGGUUAAUAACCUUGGCGAUUGACGUUACCCGCAGAAGAAGCACCGGCUAACUCCGUGCCAGCAGCCGCGGUAAUACGGAGGGUGCAAGCGUUAAUCGGAAUUACUGGGCGUAAAGCGCACGCAGGCGGUCUGUCAAGUCGGAUGUGAAAUCCCCGGGCUCAACCUGGGAACUGCAUUCGAAACUGGCAGGCUAGAGUCUUGUAGAGGGGAGUAGAAGUCCAGGUGUAGCGGUGAAAGGCGUAGAGAUCUGGAGGAAUACCGGUGGCGAAGGCGGCCCCCUGGACAAAGACUGACGCUCAGGUGCGAAAGCGUGGGGAGCAAACAGGAUUAGAUACCCCGGUAGUC
rnacentral:rRNA from 1 species